rnacentral:rRNA from 1 species
AUACGGAGGAUGCGAGCGUUAUCCGGAUUUAUUGGGUUUAAAGGGAGCGUAGGUGGGAUAUUAAGUCAGCUGUGAAAGUUUGGGGCUCAACCUUAAAAUUGCAGUCGAUACUGGUUUCCUUGAGUACGGUACAGGUGGGCGGAAUUCGUGGUGUAGCGGUGAAAUGCUUAGAUAUCACGAAGAACUCCGAUCGCGAAGGCAGCUCACCGGGCCGGAACUGACACUGAUGCUCGAAAGUGCGGGUAUCAAACAGGAUUAGAUACCCUGGUAGUCCGCACAGUAAACGAUGAAUACUCGCUGUUUGCGAUACACGGUAAGCGGCCAAGCGAAAGCGUUAAGUAUUCCACCUGGGGAGUACGCCGGCAACGGUGAAACUUAAAGGAAUUGACGGGG